rnacentral:tRNA from 1 species
GGGGAUGUAGCUCAGCUGGGAGAGCGGCGGCUUUGCAAGCCGUAGGCCGAGGGUUCGAAUCCCUUCAUCUCCA